rnacentral:tRNA from 1 species
UCCCUGGUAGUCCAGUGGCUAAGACUCGCCGCUCCCAAUGCAGGGAGCCUGGGUUCGAUUCCUGGUCAGGGAA